rnacentral:tRNA from 1 species
GGAGAGGUGCUAGAGCGGUCGAAUAGGACAGUCUUGAAAACUGUUGAGCCUUCACGGGCUCCCAGGGUUCGAAUCCCUGCCUCUCCG